UGCUGUUCUCCUUCCCCUUCUACACACUUGUGCUACUUCUUCAGUUCAGGAUUCAUCAUUCAAUCAUUCAAUCAAUUCAUUCAAUCCAUAAUCUCUGCUUCUAAAGUAGAAGGAGAAGAAAGUGAUGGUGUUGGAGGCUACCACCAGCUUGAAUUAAUUGAAGGUAAUUGACAGCACGUGAUAGUCAUUAUGGGGAUGGAGAGGAAUGUGAUAUAAGAGGAGGCAGGAAGGUAUCCCCUUUUGGGAAGAAAAAGAUAGAAAUAUUACUGAAAUGUUAUUAAGGGCAGCUGCUGGUCAUUGCAUAUAUUUAUUUAUUACUUUUCUUCUUUGUGGAGCUGAUUUUAUGAGUGUACAGAUUGGGGUUUCUUAUAUCUUCCUUGAGGACACAACAGGUGUAAGUUACUUCUGGCAUCCUGUGGCUCUACGCAGAAGUGGCGCGUUGGACUCCCUCCUCACAGAAGGCAGGACAUUUGUCCUUGCUGAGACUACAGCUGUGCAUGCCCCAUGCAGACCCACCACCGCAGAUGUUUCCUCAGGAGAAAAAGAAGUCACCUACCCAGGAAGGUAGCUGACCUGUGCCCUUCCCUGCCUCUUGCUGUCUGUCACCUUCACCGAGAGCUCACUAAGCUUUGCUCUGCAGGAAGCACAAUUAAAUGCUAACAUCUCCAUUGCACUCCCAUCAGCCACACAGAGAAAGAAGAGAGGCUCCUCCCUGUGCUGAGGCCCUUUAAGCCUUAAUGGCCCUAGCCAGCCUUACUCGGAACCUCCACCUGUAUCCUUUGCCCACGGGCCCAGGAGCCCUAUUUAAGCUCAACUUAGUGGUAGCACCUGUAGCUUGUUAGAGUGCUAGUCUCUAACAUCACUAGUUCAGUCCUAGCUAUGCUCAUACCAGGGCAUGGAUAUGUUGAUCUUUACUUGUAGGCUCACUUUGCAGCUUGAUCUCAGACCUGUCUUGUCACCACAAACUUACCUGGUGAUCUGUUCUCCUGGUUGAGCCUGGCUGCCUUCCCUGGGUACUGUGGGGCUGGGCUUCUGACUAUCUGACCAGCUGAAACUUGCUGUGACCUGUUGUUUUGGGUGUCGUCUGUUUUCUCUCUGUAACAACAGAAGGAGACAGCUAAAGAAUCUGAGUACCUGAAUACAUCUCUAAACUUCUAAUAACAUGGCAGUACGUUUUCCUGGAGAGCUAAUUUGUGAGGUCAGGGGAGCAACAACUCCUAAAGAAGCAAUUCACAAGAAUAACAUUAAAGCAGCUUUGACUGCUGUGAACAUUCCAUUGGAACAGGAGAUGCUAACUAGGGAAUGAUCCCUCAAGGGAAACCAUGUAAUGCUGAAGCAUCUGAAUAAGGAGCAUCAUUUCUAAUACUCCGUGUAAUCAGGACACCAUCCUCCUGAACGGUUCUUAUCAGAGCAAAACAGAAAUGAUCUUCACGUUGGCAGUCUCUUUAGUAUGGUGACAACACUUCUAUUUUCCUACUAUAAAUGAAUUUUAGUAAGUUGCACUCUGAAUUCUUCAAAUAAUUUCUAACAGCUACAUUGAAUCUGAAUUUGUGGAAGUAAUCAAAUAUGUCCUGCAAGAGAGAGGUAAAUGGAUACUCUACAGUCACUUGUCACACUGACUACAACUCUUUGUUGCUCUUUCUAAAAUCAACACGGAAAAGUUUUUCAAAAGAACAUAGUGAUCUUGGGUCUCCAACUUAAAAGACUAAAUUGGUUUUCAGAGCACAGCUGCUCAGUAUUUCCUAGAAAGAAAUUAUUUUCUGAUUUGCAGCCAUGGAUAGCUGAGACUGCUGGAAAGCAAUGUCACACCUCACUUGUGACCUUCUCUUGAAGUUUCCUUCCACAUGGACCUUGAGAUAUCUAAGAAGUUAUAUGUGGUUGAUGGCCAUGUAAAAACUGUGCUGUCAUAAAUCACAAGAUCAAGAAAUGUGGCCAGCCUGCAGUGUGGAAAUUAAUAAAUAUUCAGGCAUUUUCAUUGGUAUUGUAGAAGCAUAGUUUAGAAAGUGGCAAGUGAACAUAUGAUUGUUAAUAACAAGAGAGAGGAAUGUCAACCAGCAUCACUUUGAUAAAAAUGCACACCAUAAUUUCUAGGAAUCUGUAGUAUUAGUAGCACAGUGUUGGAACUCCGUAACACAAGUGGCUUGGCUGUUGUGGGUGAGGAUGAUGUGGUUGUAUCAUGGGCACACGAGGGAGGUCAGAAGACAUAUUUAAAAUGUUUAUGGAUGAACUUGGAAGGACUUUAAGACUGCUUAAACAAGGUUGACUUUACAGCUUUAUUCAUUCAUAGAAGCGUGGUGGAUUAAGAGGAUGCUACAGCUGUGCCACUGCUGUAUGGUACUGGCUACCCUGCAAAGGGCAAGAAAAUUAAAGAGUUUGUGUGCAUGUCUCUGUGAAGGACUAAGAGGAGCCACUGUCUGGUUGUGAGAAAGCAGGGCUUUCUGGGAUCGUGAGACUACCCCUCUCCUCUAGGCUGUCUACAGGAGACAAAGACUGGUGAGUGCUGAAAGGUACUUUACUCAUUGAAGAAAGAGCAAGAGAAAGCACAUUAAGAUCUACUGCGUCGUUUUCCUAACAGACUGGAAAAGUCUACCAAGUUUAGCAAAGAGCAUUGUACCAAAACAACCUGACAAAUACCUGCAGCUCCCAGGGUAUGUUUAUGGGUUCUGCUCAGACAAGCUGCCUUGCCUGGGAUUUGAGGACACUUCUUGAAUGGGAUUUCAAGGGUUAUUGGUGGAAGGAGAUACAAGUUGUCUUCAUCCUGAACUCCUCACAUGUUAGAAGGAUACACAGAAAUCCAUGCGGGCAUUGGCUGUUUCCUAGCACUAGAAAUGUGUGUCCGGAUUGCCCUGCACUGCUGCCACAUACCUAUGCACAAGAAUUAGUGCUUUCCAGAAGCACCAGGCAAAAUUACUGUGCAUGUGUAAGCCAGUCAGACAGCUGUCAAACAGAUGGGCCGUAUUCCAAACGUCUACGCAGGCACAGACCCACACAUUUCUUUUUACAAAACUUGGUUAAAAUACUCUUACCCUCAAAUAAGAUACUGGUGCCACUUUAGAAAAAUUAGUCACGUUUCUGUACUGGACAUUCUUUUUAUACCACUAGCUUGUUCCCAAGUUGGGCUGACAAAGCAGCAGGGGGAAGAGAGAUGUCCUUUACUGCUGCUUUACCAGCCACUGCUAGAAGAUAGGAGUGUGUGACCAUGAGGAAAUUAUAAACAGACUUUUAAAAUUUGAUUUUCUCAGCACACAUAAGAAAAGCAGUGCUGUCUUCCAGUGUGCUUUCAACACUAACAUUUACUGGGAAGUGUAUGUGUCUGUGUGCACACAUACAGUUUUUGGUUUGGUUUCUCUUCUUUUGACACAUGAAAUGUCUUUUGGAUAAAUUUAUAUACAUAUAAAUGAAACACUGUGCUAAUAGGAGCAUGCAACCAUCAUCAUCAGUAGAACCCAAGUCAAAACAGGAAUAAAUAAUGUCUACUUGUUUUCCUAGAGAAAAACAUUUUUUUUAUCUGCUUAAUUGAUUUCUUCCUUCUCCCUACAGUUCUGCCAGCUAAGACUGACUUUAGAAAUGCUUUUGCAAGGGGUCUCCUAUUUGUCAGGCACCCUUGGCCAAUUGAAAAGCAGUUAAGCUAUUUAUAAAAUGUUUUGUUAGUGGGCUACAAAUAUCAAAUUUGGAGUUAGAGUUAGGUGAUAAAAUAAAUUGCAACUGAAAAUUCAUUAUGGAGGACUUUUAUGUAUUUUCAAAGAUACAGCUUUGAAAACUUCAGAAGAGGACAAAAAAAUCUGGAGUACAUUUUUCCAAAAUGAUAGUGUAUUACCGUCUCCCCAGGAAAUUAAUCAGAAUGCAAUCAAAAUACUUUUCCAGCUGCUGAAGUCUCUUCCUCCCUUGUGGAUCUGUCUCACAUAAAUCAAAUCUCAAAUUCAAAGUCAUGUUAACUGGACAGCUGUUCUCUUAAGCUACAUGAAGUGGCAAGUAUCUGCUGUUAUCUUUGUAGCGCUUUCAAUAGCCCUACUUUAU